CGUGGUGCAGUAUUCUCAUUUUUUUUUUCCUCCAGCUGAUUUUUUGCUUUUUCCUUUAUUAUACUAGGUUUAUUAAUUAAAAAAUGAGAUUAAGAUAAAUCUCCCUUUUGUCUUUUCAGAAUUUUAGGUUAUGCUUUAUGAUUCUCUUUUUGAGAUUUUCAGGUUCUCUUUCCUGCUUGGUUGAUCUUUCAUGUUCUUUAUAUUCUCUAUAAUCAAUUUUCUGCUUAAGUUUAUUAGAAAUCAAAUUUGCAUUUCUGCCUUUUGUUGACCAGUUUGUGAGAUUCAAUUAAUCUUGAACUGGCCCUUUCAACAAUCUUCUAUAUCCAAUCUUUCAACUUUGCGGUCUUCCUCUUGGAGGAUUAAUUUUAGUUUGACAUUCAGUUGGACUUUUCCAAAAAUAAGUCUAGCGGUUCUAUGAGACAAAAACAUUCUAGGCCCUUCCACUCCUUCGUUUGUACUACCAAAGGCACGUACAACAAAAUGGAGUAAAGAGAAAGCAAAAGCCAUACCAUCGGAAAAUUCCCUUUGUUUUUAAACACUGUAAUUUCUGAUUAGUAUCUGUCACUUCGUUGCAUUAAGAUUGACAAUGCCUGUUUGAAAGUUCAAACAACACCGACGUUAUGGUGGAGACAAUAAACCACCUGCUUUUUAGCUGCACAGUCUCAGCUCAGAUCUGGCAAAAGAUCCUUAAAAGGAUCAAUAUCCAUAGACAAGCGCAAACAUGGAAUGAAGAAAUGAGGUGGGCUAUUGAUCAAUAUCGAGGAAAACAACUAGCAGCUGAGAUUUAUAGGAUGGCGCUAGCUGGGACUGUUUACUACAUAUGGCAGGAAAGGAAUCAUAGAAUUUUUCAAGGGAAGAUUAGAGAUAUUGCAACACUUGUGAGGCAGAGUGUUCAGGAAGUACAUAUCAGGGGAAGAUUGAAACCAAGACUGGCCAUGCUGCUGAAUUCUAUUAAUUUCUAUCCACAGUGAAGCUUGACUUGUAUACAUAUGUUAGUGAUGCUCUGAAGCUUAUGUUUUGAUAGAGUAGCUUGGACUAAGAGGUAGUAGUUAUGCACAGAACUGGGGACUGUUCAGAUUCUGUUUUUUUGCUUUGUAAUUCUCACUUGGUAAUAAAAUCAUUUAUUUACCAAAAAAAAAAAAAAAUAGAAGAGAAAAAAUAAGAGGAAAGAUGCCCUUUAUUGCCCUACAUGGGAGCUACCAAAACCAUGUGACCCGUUUCAUGUAGUUCAGAAGAUUUGUCUUGCAUCUGAUGCAUAAAAUCUGCUUUUGACACAAUUUCCAUUAUAGCUUACAGGCCAUAAUUUACAUAUCACUUUGAUAUCAUAUAUGUGAGAAGGGUUACCCUCCAAUAUCUAUUUUCCAGAAAAUUUCAGGAAUAUAUAUAAGUAUUUCUUUCGUGAGUGAAAAUCAUGAUAUAAAGGUGGUGUAAUGGUUGUUGCCUUCAUCAGUAGAAAUUUCACCACUCAAUUGUUUGGCUCUUUUCCCAUCUCUAUUACUUUAUAUUUAUUAUUGUAAUAGAGGAAGGCAGUGAAGAGUUAUUAGGCAAUGAGUUUGCCUUUGUUUUUGCUUUAUUCUCUUCUCUUUUUUUCCCCUUUGUGUUUCUUCAUUAGCCAGUGAACUGACUCUAAGACCAAACAAUCCACAAAGGAGAAGAUUCAAUACUCCGAUAACAGAGUGAUGAAUGCGGAGUGCCUUCCUCGAUUUUUUCUUGAAGUUCCGUAGCAGAAAAAUGCAACAUCAAAGGAUGCUCAUGAUAUUAUGAAUAAUCUUCACGGUCUUAAGAUCCACAAUAUUUCCUGUCGGAGCGCUCUUCAUCUUGACGCAUUUGCCAAGUAUCUUUUUGCUCCAGAACCAUCUUCAACACCGCUAUCAAAAUUGCAGCAGGAAUUCAAUUAGUUGAUAUAAAGUUGGUAACUUCCGUUUUCCAAAUUUCAUCAAUAGCAAAAAAGUGUGUCUCUUCUGAAUUUUCCGAUUCAAAAUUUCUGCUUCAAAUAUGAUAUUCUUCACUUUUUAUUUAUCUCUUGAUUGUUUUCCUUAAACUGUGCAGACGAUUUUGGACUAUGUUUUUAGUAGAUGCUGUCACUAGUAUUUCAAGAUUUUGGUCAUUUGGCUUCACUUUCUUGUAGAUUUGAUAACAAAGUAGAAAAGAAGCUAAUUUUACAGUAUUGCAUAUGAGUUAGCCAAAAUGUAUAAUCUAUAUCUAUAUAAAGCAGGGACAUAGUGAGGCGCUCUCAUAAGCAGAUAUUCCUAUUUAUUUUUACUCUCAAUUUUUUGGCAAUAUAUAUUCCUUAUUUUUUUUAAAAUCCCGCGCUUUAAUAAUAAAAAAUCUAUCGCGUCUUCAGUUACAGAAAAAUGAAAAGACGCGUCUUCAUUGUGGCUUUUCACUCCUUCUCCCUCCUCUUUCUCCCUGCCAACAUUAACUUCGCUCCUCCAUUCACGAUUCUGCUCCAUGGUUAUCACUGUUGGUGCCAGAGCGGAACGACGCCACCAAUGCCCCGCUCCUAAACAAGUAGCAAACAUAGGAAAGGUUCAACUGGUGCCAGAGGCAUAUGCAGGGAUGAAAAUGGAUAUAUGACCACGGUGUAUAAUUGAUUCCCCUCUUAAUAGAUGCAGUAGCGUUAUGGCUGAAGUUAGAGAAAUUUUUGUUGGGAUAAAAUUGUAUAUAGAAUAAGGCAAAUCAAGUAGCGGAUGCUUUGGCUAAGUGAAGUAUUGACAACUAAAGUCUUAUUCUCCAUUCCAGCGACGAUCUGCCUCAAAGGGCUAGGGGCUUAUAUAGACUUGAUUUAAUCCAGAUGGCCUCUUUCCGACAUAAGCACAAGACCUACAUUUUUUGUGAGCUUUCUCUGUUGUACAUAUAAGAAGGAUUAUACCUUUGUAUUUUUGCUAACUGUAGGUAGGCUUAAAUUAUUUUCUUUAGUAGUCAGAGGUAAGGAUAUGUAUAUCCCAUAACGUCUUUUGGUGUAUCUCUCUCAACGUUGAAUGAAACCCAGGUGCUCUGGGAACAAUUGAUUCAAAAAGAAUUCUCUGAGUUGUGGUU